UGCAAGUCGAACGAUGAUGCCCAGCUUGCUGGGUGGAUUAGUGGCGAACGGGUGAGUAACACGUGAGUAACCUGCCCCUGACUCUGGGAUAAGCGUUGGAAACGACGUCUAAUACUGGAUAUGACCGCCGAUCGCAUGGUCUGGUGGUGGAAAGAUUUUUUGGUUGGGGAUGGACUCGCGGCCUAUCAGCUUGUUGGUGAGGUAAUGGCUCACCAAGGCGACGACGGGUAGCCGGCCUGAGAGGGUGACCGGCCACACUGGGACUGAGACACGGCCCAGACUCCUACGGGAGGCAGCAGUGGGGAAUAUUGCACAAUGGGCGAAAGCCUGAUGCAGCAACGCCGCGUGAGGGAUGACGGCCUUCGGGUUGUAAACCUCUUUUAGUAGGGAAGAAGCGUAAGUGACGGUACCUGCAGAAAAAGCACCGGCUAACUACGUGCCAGCAGCCGCGGUAAUACGUAGGGUGCAAGCGUUGUNCCGGAAUUAUUGGGCGUAAAGAGCUCGUAGGCGGUUUGUCGCGUCUGCUGUGAAAUCCCGAGGCUCAACCUCGGGCUUGCAGUGGGUACGGGCAGACUAGAGUGCGGUAGGGGAGAUUGGAAUUCCUGGUGUAGCGGUGGAAUGCGCAGAUAUCAGGAGGAACACCGAUGGCGAAGGCAGAUCUCUGGGCCGUAACUGACGCUGAGGAGCGAAAGCGUGGGGAGCGAACAGGAUUAGAUACCCUGGUAGUCCACGCCGUAAACGUUGGGCGCUAGAUGUAGGGACCUUUCCACGGUUUCUGUGUCGUAGCUAACGCAUUAAGCGCCCCGCCUGGGGAGUACGGCCGCAAGGCUAAAACUCAAAGGAAUUGACGGGGGCCCGCACAAGCGGCGGAGCAUGCGGAUUAAUUCGAUGCAACGCGAAGAACCUUACCAAGGCUUGACAUACACCGGAAACGGCCAGAGAUGGUUGCCCCCUUGUGGUCGGUGUACAGGUGGUGCAUGGUUGUCGUCAGCUCGUGUCGUGAGAUGUUGGGUUAAGUCCCGCAACGAGCGCAACCCUCGUUCUAUGUUGCCAGCGCGUUAUGGCGGGGACUCAUAGGAGACUGCCGGGGUCAACUCGGAGGAAGGUGGGGAUGACGUCAAAUCAUCAUGCCCCUUAUGUCUUGGGCUUCACGCAUGCUACAAUGGCCGGUACAAAGGGCUGCGAUACCGUAAGGUGGAGCGAAUCCCAAAAAGCCGGUCUCAGUUCGGAUUGAGGUCUGCAACUCGACCUCAUGAAGUCGGAGUCGCUAGUAAUCGCAGAUCAGCAACGCUGCGGUGAAUACGUUCCCGGGCCUUGUACACACCGCCCGUCAAGUCAUGAAAGUCGGUAACACCCGAAGCCGGGGCCUAACCC
rnacentral:rRNA from 1 species